AUGGCGACCGGCGCACGGGUGAGUAACACGUAUCCAACCUGCCGAUGACUCGGGGAUAGCCUUUCGAAAGAAAGAUUAAUACCCGAUGGCAUAGUUCUUCCGCAUGGUAGAACUAUUAAAGCAUUUCGGUCAUCGAUGGGGAUGCGUUCCAUUAGCUUGUUGGCGGGGUAACGGCCCACCAAGGCAUCGAUGGAUAGGGGUUCUGAGAGGAAGGUCCCCCACAUUGGAACUGAGACACGGUCCAAACUCCUACGGAAGGCAGCAG
rnacentral:rRNA from 1 species